rnacentral:rRNA from 1 species
CAGUCGAACGGGAGUACCUUCUUCGGAAGAUACUCUAGUGGCGAACGGGUGCGUAACACGUGAGAAUCUGCCCUUAGGAAGGGAAUAACUCUUAGAAGUAAGAGCUAAUGCCCUAUAUGCCGUCUGGUGAAAGAAUUUCGCCUAAGGAGGAGCUCGCGUCUGAUUAGCUAGUUGGUAGGGUAAAGGCCUACCAAGGCGACGAUCAGUAGCUGGUUUGAGAAGAUGAUCAGCCACAUUGGAACUGAGACACGGUCCAGACUCCUACGGGAGGCAGCAGUGAGGAAUUUUCUGCAAUGGGCGAAAGCCUGACAGAGCAAUACCGCGUGAGGGAUGACUGCCUACGGGUUGUAAACCUCUUUUCUCAAGGAGGAAGAACUGACGUUACUUGAGAAAUAAGCAUCGGCUAGCUCUGUGCCAGCAGCCGCGGUAAUACAGAGGAUGCAAGUUUUAUUCGGAAUUAUUGGGCGUAAAGCGUCUGCAGGUUGAUGUAAAAGUCUUUUGUUAAAUAUCAGGGCUCAACCCGGAAUCUGCAAAAGAAACUAUAUAUCUCGAGUAUGGUAGAGGUAAGGGGAAUUUCCAGUGGAGCGGUGAAAUGCGUAGAUAUUGGAAAGAACACCGAUAGCGAAGGCACCUUACUGGGCCAUUACUGACAUUCAGAGACGAAAGCUAGGGUAGCAAACGGGAUUAGAUACCCCGGUAGUCCUAGCCGUAAACGAUGGAUACUAGAUGUUGUGUAUUUUAUAUAGACAGUGUCGUAGCUAACGCGUUAAGUAUCCCGCCUGGGAAGUAUGCUCGCAAGGGCGAAACUCAAAGGAAUUGACGGGGGCCCGCACAAGCGGUGGAGCAUGU